GUCCACGCCGUAACGGUGGGCGCUAGUUGUGCGAACCUUCCACGGUUGUGCGACGCAGCUAACGCAUUAAGCGCCCGCCUGGGGAGUACGAUCGCAAGAUUAACUACAAGGAAUUUACGGGCCCCGCACAAGCAGCGGAGCAUGCGGCUUAAUUCGACGCAACGCGAAGAACCUUACCAAGGCUUGACAUAUACAGGAAUAUGGCAGAGAUGUCAUAGCCGCAAGGUCUGUAUACAGGUGGUGCAUGGUUGUCGU
rnacentral:rRNA from 1 species